rnacentral:rRNA from 1 species
AUUGAACGCUGGCGGCAGGCCUAACACAUGCAAGUCGAACGAGUGGCGGACGGGUGAGUAAUGUCUGGGAAACUGCCUGACGGAGGGGGAUCACUACUGGAAACGGUAGCUAAUACCGCAUACCAUCGGAUGUGCCCAGAUGGGAUUAGCUAGUAGGUGGGGUAAAGGCUCACCUCGGCGACGAUCCCUAGCUGGUCUGAGAGGAUGACCGACUACACUGUAACUGAGACACGGUCCUGACGCCUCCGGUAGGGAGCAGUGGGGAAGAUUGCACGAUGGGCGCAUGCCUGAUACAGCCAUGCCGCGUGUAUGAAGAAUGCCUUCGGGUUGUAAAGUACUUUCAGCGAGGAGGCGUUACCCGCAGAAGAAGCACCGGCUGACGCCGUGCCAGCAGCCGCGGUAAUAC